UACGUAGGGUGCGAGCGUUAAUCGGAAUUACUGGGCGUAAAGCGUGCGCAGGCGGUUUUGUAAGCCCGAUGUGAAAUCCCCGGGCUUAACCUGGGAAUGGCAUUUGGGACUGCAAGGCUUGAGUUUGGCAGAGGAGACUGGAAUUCCUGGUGUAGCAGUGAAAUGCGUAGAUAUGCGGAGGAACACCGAUGGCGAAGGCAAUCCCCUGGGCCUGCACUGACGCUCAUGCACGAAAGCGUGGGGAGCAAACAGG
rnacentral:rRNA from 1 species